CCGAAAGCCGUUUUGAAUGGGUUCUAUUCCCAAACCGUGUAUACAUACCUUUGUUGCUUUGGCAGGCCGCCUUCGGGCGUCGGCUCACGCUGACCGCGCCUGCCAGAGGACCCAAACUCGUUUGUUUAGUGAUGUCUGAGUACUAUAUAAUAGUUAAAACUUUCAACAACGGAUCUCUUGGUUCUGGCAUCGAUGAAGAACGCAGCGAAAUGCGAUAAGUAAUGUGAAUUGCAGAAUUCAGUGAAUCAUCGAAUCUUUGAACGCACAUUGCGCCCCUUGGUAUUCCGAGGGGCAUGCCUGUUCGAGCGUCAUUAUGACCACUCAAGCCUAGCUUGGUAUUGGGGUUCGCGGUCUCGCGGCCCUUAAAACCAGUGGCGGUGCCAUCUGGCUCUAAGCGUAGUAAUUUAUCUCGCUAUUGGGUCCGGUGGUUGCUUGCCAACAACCUCCAACUUCUAAGGUUGACCUCGGAUCAGGUAGGGAUACCCGCUGAACUUAAGCAUAUCAAUAGCGGGAGGAAA
rnacentral:rRNA from 1 species